CCCCUUGGGGAGUAGCCGGCUUCCGCAUCGCGGAAGCGCCUGCAUCAACACACUCGAUCCCGUCCGAUCGUGGUGCAGGCAACCAGACACGGUAGGCGAGACCAGCGGUGUACCGGCGCAACGAAGGUUGGGCGCGCCGGCGUGCCGUGCAUCGUCUCUGCCCGACCCGA
rnacentral:sRNA from 2 species